UUGGAGGGCAAGUCUGGUGCCAGCAGCCGCGGUAAUUCCAGCUCCAAUAGCGUAUAUUAAAGUUGUUGCAGUUAAAAAGCUCGUAGUUGAAUUUCGAGACCGGUUUACUGGUCGUGCUUUUGUACGUACUGGUAUUAUUGGUUUCUCCUUUCUGACGAAUCUUAAUGCCAUUAAUUUGGUGUUUUGGGGAAUCAGGACUGUUACUUUGAAAAAAUUAGAGUGUUUAAAGCAGGCUCACGCUUGAAUACAUUAGCAUGGAAUAACGAAAUAGGACGUUUGAUUUUAUUUUGUUGGUUUCUAGGAUCGACGUAAUGAUUAAUAGGGAUAGUUGGGGGCAUUAGUAUUCAAUUGUCAGAGGUGAGAUUCUUGGAUUUAUUGAAGACUAACUACUGCGAAAGCAUUUGCCAAGGAUGUUUUCAUUAAUCAAGAACGAAAGUUAGGGGAUCGAAGACGAUCAGAUACCGUCGUAGUCUUAACCAUAAACUAUGCCGACUAGGGAUCGGAUGAUGUUAAUUUUUUAAUGACUCAUUCGGCGCCUUACGGGAAAC
rnacentral:rRNA from 1 species